rnacentral:ncRNA from 1 species
CUCUUAUAUGAAAGGGGAGAAGGUUAAUGUUUCCCUUGAAAAGGAAGAGACCCUCAGGCCUGACAACACAUAUAGAGUUAAAAACGUCAGAUGAUUAUAUUGGAAAUAUUUUUU